CCUACGGGUGGCAGCAGUCGAGAAUCUUUCACAAUGGGGGAAACCCUGAUCGUGCGACGCCGCGUGGAGGAAUGAAGCUCUUCGGAUUGUAAACUCCUGUUAUGUGGGAGUGAAUUAGACCGAUAGUACUACAUGAGGAAGAGCCGGCUAAGUCUGAGCCGGCAGCCGCGGUAGUACGGAGGUAGCAAGCGUGGUACGGAUUGAGUGGGCGUAACGGGUGGGUAGGCGGUUUCGUAAGUUAUGUGUGAAAGGCGCGGGCUCAACCGUCGAACGGCAGAUGAAACUGCGAGACUAGAGUAACGUAGAGGGGAGCGGAAUUCGUGGUGUAGCAGUGAAAUGCGUAGAUAUCAAGAAGAACACUCGUGGCGAAGGCGGAUUACUGGACAGUAACUGACGCUGAGGCACGAAGGCCAGGGGAGCAAAAGGGAUUAGAUACCCGAGUAGUC
rnacentral:rRNA from 1 species